rnacentral:tRNA from 1 species
CGGGCUGUAGCGCAGUUUAGUUAGCGCGCUCGCAUGGGGCGCGAGAGGCCGCCGGGGCAGAGCCGGCCAGCCCGA